rnacentral:rRNA from 1 species
UUACACCUCAACUCGGGUAGGACUACCCGCUGAACUUAAGCAUAUCA